UACGUAGGGUGCGAGCGUUGUCCGGAAUUAUUGGGCGUAAAGGGCUCGUAGGCGGUUUGUCGCGUCGGGAGUGAAAACCAUGGGCUUAACUCAUGGCUUGCUUCCGAUACGGGCAGACUAGAGGUAUGCAGGGGAGAACGGAAUUCCUGGUGUAGCGGUGAAAUGCGCAGAUAUCAGGAGGAACACCGGUGGCGAAGGCGGUGCUCUGGGCAUUACCUGACGCUGAGGAGCGAAAGUGUGGGGAGCGAACAGG
rnacentral:rRNA from 1 species